rnacentral:rRNA from 1 species
AAUCAACGCUGGCGGCGUGCCUCAGACAUGCAAGUCGAACGAUUAAGACUUCCUUCGGGAAGUGCAUAAAGUGGCGCACGGGUGAGUAACACGUAAGUAAUCUACCUUUGAGUGGGGAAUAACCCGGGGAAACCCGAGCUAAUACCGCAUAAUGCAGCGGCAUCGCGAGAUGACAGUUGUUAAAGGAGCAAUCCGCUUAAAGAGGAGCUUGCGGCAGAUUAGCUAGUUGGUAAGGUAAUGGCUUACCAAGGCUACGAUCUGUAUCCGGUCUAAGAGGACGGUCGGACACACUGACACUGAAUAACGGGUCAGACUCCUACGGGAGGCAGCAGUCGGGAAUUUUGGGCAAUGGGCGAAAGCCUGACCCAGCAACGCCGCGUGAAGGAUGAAGUAUUUCGGUAUGUAAACUUCGAAAGAAUAGGAAGAAUAAAUGACGGUACUAUUUAUAAGCUCCGGCUAACUACGUGCCAGCAGCCGCAGUAAUAC